GGUCAAGUUACUAAGGGUGUAUGGGGGAUGUCUAGGCGUCGAGAGGCGAUGAAGGACGUGGCAGGCUGCGAUAAGCCCGGGGCAGGAGCCGAGCAUCCGUUAAUCCCGGGAUUUCCGAAUGGGGCAACCUGGCGUCACUGGGUAACCAGAUGGCGUCAUCUGCGGCUGAAUGCAUAGGCCGUGUGAAGCUAACGCAGGGAACUGAAACAUCUAAGUACCUGCAGGAAAGGAAAUCAACCGAGACUCCGUCAGUAGCGGCGAGCGAAAGCGGAUCUAGCCCAAACCAGAGAGCUUGCUCUCUGGGGUUGUGGGCGCCGACGCAAGUUGAGGAAUGGCUAGUAAAACGUUCUGGAAAGUCCGACCAUAGAAGGUGAUAGUCCUGUAUACGAAAGCUUGAACUCAAUGUUGGCGUACCAGAGUAGCACGGAGCUCGUGGAACUCUGUGUGAAGCUGGGGGGUCCACCCUCCAAGGCUAAGUACUAC
rnacentral:ncRNA from 1 species